rnacentral:lncRNA from 1 species
AACAAAUCCCCCUGAGUCCAUUGUAAAUGAAGCAGAAAGAAUUGUGGCCAGGGCUAGCCGGAAUAACAUUUCCUCUGCACACAAGAUCAUAUCAUCCUGCCCACCAAGCUUGGGAAGACAUUACUCAGCCUUCAGUUCAACUAUAACUUAUUUCAUUUCAAGUACCAAGAUAAUACUUCUUAAGUGGCAACAGGACACAGAUAUUUUUCCCCUGUUCCUCUUUGACAACUCCAUGGAUUGCCAUCAGGCCAUCAGGAUACAAUUUUGUGGCUCUACUCCCAGAAGUUUGAGGUGUUUUUUCCUUAAUGGAUAUGUGGGAGAUAAGUCUUGUCUGAAUUUCACAGACCUCAAAGAAGUCAGCAGUAAGAAAUGAAAAAUCAAACAUUUGUGAAAG